UGUGGGAGCGGGCUUGCUCGCGAAGGCGGUGUAUCAGUCUCCAUUUGUAUCGACUGAUACACCGCCUUCGCGAGCAAGCCCGCUCCCACA
rnacentral:misc_RNA from 1 species